UACUCCGGCCCAACAGAAUCAACAUUUAUAAAUGCCCCUGGCACGAUGUGGUUAAUUGAUAGACGUGAGGCCUUUCUAUUUCUCCAGCCCAGAUAACUUUUUCGUAAUUGUUAGGGCACUUGUUAGCAAGUGGAUAGAAGCAGAGAUGGUAGUGGGAGUGGAAGAAACGUCCAUCCAGAAGUUUGUCUUUCGCAGUGACUGGGAUGCCAGUCCAUCGCAAGUUGCUUCCCCAGCUGAUGGUGGUACCCAUUAUACUCCUGGGUGCAGAGAGGCAAGUAGGGGUGAAGUGGCUUGCCAAGGGCCACAACGUACUGCCAGCAGCUGGAUUCGAACCACCAACCCUAUGAUUGGAAGCCACAGACCCUAAACACUUGGCCACAUGAAAGAGCAAUCCUGGCAGGAGGAAUUUCUGUUGUGUUUGCUGCAUCAGAGGCUCCGCUAUAAAAUGCUCACAACCAUAGAGGGUGCUAUUACCAUUCCAUGAAGCCUACUACAUCACCCAAUGGUAAUGGAAAGAGGAAAAAAAAAGGGAUGCUGAACACUGCCUUAACCAAUGGAAGUAGGAAAAGAAGUUCAGUGGAGCUGGGCAAGUUGCUGUUGACAUAUCCUGGAGUUGAAUACAUUUUGAGCGAGAAGUUCAACCAGGAUCUACCGGAAAAACAUUUCAGCAGGCUGCUGGUGGCAGCUGGGAUGAUCCUACGAUCGAAUGGCUUGGUCACAACAUUACCACCCUGUAUGUUGCUUCUAGCAGUGCACAUCCAUCAAAGGAAGAAAGGCAAUGUCAGAAAACAUGACGACCAAGAUCUCCCUAAGCUUAACAGCGCCCCACUUCCAAGAAGAAAGGAAACGCCCACACAUAUCCUCCCAUGAACCCAAUCAGUAUUUUGUCAUUUAUUUCAACUUUUCUUCUAGCAUCAUCUGUUUUUCUGUUUGCUAACUGGAAGGGUAAUGUGUGGCCGAACAAACAGUUCAUCAGAUUACUCCUACAUUCCUCCAUAAUUAGAUAUCGAUGGUUAUAAUUUGACAAGCUAAAGGUCAACAUAAAUAGUCUUUUAAUCAAUGAAAUUGUGUCUUCACUUCUUGUGUGUGAUUUGCUGGAAAGAGAGACCUGACAGUUACAGAAAUGAAGAGAAUUUCCAGAAAAUAAGCAGUUUUCUGAACGAGUGCAAUAGCUUGAGAACUUGAAUAUGGCUUUUUACUUAUCCUGCUGGGAUGAAAUGUACAGUACAGAAUGUAUAUUAUUGCAGUGGGUAAAGUGCUUUGCAAAACUGAAGAAGAGCAAAACUAUAAUUAGGGAAUUUGGCAAAGGCUGACCUUUUCUCAGGCCGGCAGUAGAAAUACACGCACAUGGGAAAUUCAUAAUGCAAUGUGCCACCAAGAGAUUGGUAUGGAGAGGCUUUUUUCAUAGUGCAUUAAGGGAUAGUGGACAAAGUCUUCUCAUGUAUAGCUGCACUGUGUAUCGAGAACUUGAUUUUUUUCUGAAUUUUUAUAUUGCAAAUUUGAAACUGCUUACUGUAAAUGGGUGUGAGGUAUAUGUAUUGAUGGUUUUGCUUGGUGCAGGGAACGUGUAAAUCAAUAAGAUAUCCCAAAUCACGUACAAAGUGUGUGUAAACUUGAACUGAACUUGUGCUGGAGUCAAUGACGGGGCUCAACGUGGGGCACCUUUUUGUUUGAAAGAGGUAUAUGUUGCCUUUGUGGAUCUGAAGGCUGCCUUCAUCUCUAUGGACAAGAACGCCAUCUGGCUCCUUCUCCAGAGCGUAGGAGUCCCUCCCAAGUACAUCUGCAUCCUCUGAGACUUCUAUACCAACAGCACAUGCCGUAUGCGGGCCAAAGGUACCCCUAUCAGGUCCCUUCCGAACCACCUCAGGAGUUCGACAGGGCUGUGUGGCUGCACCGAACCUGUUCAAUGUUGCAGUUAAUUACUGGUUGAACUGUCCGAUGGAGCGCUGUCCUGACCUUGGUGUGGACUACUACUCUCAUUUCACAGACCUGUGUUACGUGGAUGAUGUUGUGCUCCCUGCCACGCUGCUUGACACCCUAGUGGAGGCUGUGGAGGCUCUUGAUGAGGUUGCUUCACCCUUAAGGUUUCACCAUCAGCUAGGUGAAGACGAAAGUGCAGUCCCUGUCCGACUUUCUACCUCCUCUCCCUCCGGCAGUUAACAUCUCCGACUAGCAGGUUGAAGUGGUGGACCAGUUCAUCUACUUUGGAUCGAAGAUCUCCAAUGACUGCUUAUCAGAGCUGUAAACCAACUGCCGCCUUCAACUGGCCCACAGUACCUUUGGUUGUCUCUCACAGGUAUGACGCAGUGGUAAGAUCUGCACAUCUACCAAAAUCCGCAUCUUCAACACCAGUGUAUUGCCUGUUCUGCUCUACAGAUGCGAAUCCUGGUCUCCCUCUUCUAAACCAUCCGCUGCCUUGAUGCGUUUCAUCAGACCUGCCUGCGUUACAUCCUUGGCAUCGGUUGGUACAGGCACAUCUCCAGUGACGAGGUCUACAAAACACAUGAAUUUGUGUUGGCCACUUAAGAGGUUUCCUGUGUGAAGUCUCCUUUACGUACCCAAAACUAAGCAAGAAUUGCCACUUUUUCUUGCUUUUUUUGUCAUAAGUUGAGAACCGUUCAGUCGAUUUCACGGGGGCGAAUGGCAAU
rnacentral:lncRNA from 1 species